CCUACGGGUGGCUGCAGUGGGGAAUAUUGGACAAUGGGGGGAACCCUGAUCCAGCCAUGCCGCGUGUAUGAAGAAGGCCCUCGGGUUGUAAAGCACUUUCAGUGAGGAAGAACGCCUGGUGGUUAAUACCCAUCAGGAAAGACAUCACUCACAGAAGAAGCACCGGCUAACUCCGUGCCAGCAGCCGCGGUAAUACGGAGGGUGCGAGCGUUAAUCGGAAUUACUGGGCGUAAAGCGCGCGUAGGUGGCUUGAUAAGCCGGUUGUGAAAGCCCCGGGCUCAACCUGGGAACGGCAUCCGGAACUGUCAAGCUAGAGUGCAGGAGAGGAAGGUAGAAUUCCCGGUGUAGCGGUGAAAUGCGUAGAGAUCGGGAGGAAUACCAGUGGCGAAGGCGGCCUUCUGGACUGACACUGACACUGAGGUGCGAAAGCGUGGGUAGCAAACAGGAUUAGAUACCCUGGUAGUC
rnacentral:rRNA from 1 species